GAAGGUCCAAAGCCCUGAGCGUAUCCAGCAACACCAGCCGACUCCACGUUCAUCCCCCCAGACGGAGCCUGAGGGGCAUUUACACGUUGUCCACACGAUGGGAGGCUCAUGGGCAGACCCUGAAGUCCACCUGGAGCUCUGAAUAACUGAGCACACACGCCGGCCGUCUCUCACGACGGACCUGAACACUGCCUCGGUGUGUUUUCGGAGUGUUACAGGCCUUCAGGAGCGAGGCAGCGCAGUGAGACCGAGGAGCAGAUGAAUAUUUGAUCAGCUCCUCUCCGGCCCUGUGUGCUGUAAUAUUGAUGCGGUCCAGUGGCAUUGAGGCCCUGUCUCUCCGGCUCACAGGCCGCAUGACACCUACUGAUCUGCAGGAAGUUCCUCCUCCAUCAUGAACAGUGAGCAGAGAGGAGGAGAAAGAGGAGGCUCAGCAGGAGAUCUGCUGUACAACAACCCACCGACACCUGAGUGUGUUACUCUACACGUGUGUGUAUCUGUGAGACAGCGCUGCAGCCCCUUCGCACUCAGUUCUCAAUCGCUGCAUGUAGAUCUUGUUGGAUGACGGUUCAUAUCUAUUCCAGGAUGUGGCACUUCCCCCCCACCGUCCCUGUCAGAGAUGUCAAAACGCUGUGUGUGUGCAAGAAGACUCGUCAACUUUUGUAUGUAAACUUCUUUUGUUGGGUUCACACAUAUUCUUAGUAAAAGAACCAAAUAAAAGAACCGGUCCUGACUGAGCUGAGAUGUCUCCACAGAUACAUAAAGUCUUAACAGCCGUGGACGUGGAGACAGACACAAGUACAAUGUAAGAAGUUUGAUUUUCAAGUCGUCUUCUGACAUCUUAGGGCACACAUCUUUCUCAAAGCUCCGUUCAGGCAUAAAAAUUCUGUUAAAUCACAUCAUAAAAGUAAUUUCUACAGAUUUCCAAGUGUUAAAAACGUGUCAAAUUGAUUUUUCGUGAUGUUGGUUCUUGAUCUUUUCUUUUAAUAUGUGUGAAUGAAUUUUUUGCAAUUCCCCCCGAGUGUCCUGUGUCUGUGUCAUCUGUUUCUUAAAGACUUAAG